UGGGGAAUAUUGCACAAUGGAGGGAACUCUGAUGCAGCGACGCCGCGUGAGUGAUGAAGGACUUCGUUUCGUAAAACUCUGUUCUAUGGGAAGAAAAGGACUGUACCAUAGGAGAAAGCUCCGGCUAAAUACGUGCCAGCAGCCGCGGUAAUACGUAUGGAGCGAGCGUUGUCCGGAAUUAUUGGGCGUAAAGGGUGCGCAGGCGGCUUUACAAGUUGGAUGUGAAAUAUUGUGGCUCAACCACAAACGUGCAUCCAAAACUGCAAAGCUUGAGUUAAGGAGAGGUAAGUGGAAUUCCUGGUGUAGCGGUGGAAUGCGUAGAUAUCAGGAGGAAUACCGGUGGCGAAGGCGACUUACUGGACUUAAACUGACGCUCAGGCACGAAAGCGUGGGGAGCUAACAGG
rnacentral:rRNA from 1 species